CCUACGGGAGGCAGCAGUGGGGAAUAUUGCACAAUGGGCGCAAGCCUGAUGCAGCCAUGCCGCGUGUGUGAAGAAGGCCUUCGGGUUGUAAAGCACUUUCAGCGGGGAGGAAGGCGGUGAGGUUAAUAACCUCAUCGAUUGACGUUACCCGCAGAAGAAGCACCGGCUAACUCCGUGCCAGCAGCCGCGGUAAUACGGAGGGUGCAAGCGUUAAUCGGAAUUACUGGGCGUAAAGCGCACGCAGGCGGUCUGUCAAGUCGGAUGUGAAAUCCCCGGGCUCAACCUGGGAACUGCAUUCGAAACUGGCAGGCUAGAGUCUUGUAGAGGGGGGUAGAAUUCCAGGUGUAGCGGUGCAAUGCGUAGAGAUCUGGAGGAAUACCGGUGGCGAAGGCGGCCCCCUGGACAAAGACUGACGCUCAGGUGCGAAAGCGUGGGGAGCAAACAGGAUUAGAUACCCGAGUAGUC
rnacentral:rRNA from 1 species